UUUUCAGAAGGUAUGGUGGUUGUUUGUUGUGGUGGAGGUGAAGUUGCUUCAGAUUGUUUUUGUGUUUGUUGUUGUGAAGCAAGUCUAUGAGCAUAAAGUGUGGCUAUGGUUGGGGAAUUAGGGUCAGAAAGUUCUUGGUCAGAAGAGAGGGAGACAUAUGGAGGUGAUUCAGGUUCAGAGGAUGAUGAAGAUGAAGUGCUUUGGUGAGUUUGUGCAGGUUUAGAGGGAGGUAUGAAAGUACG
rnacentral:lncRNA from 1 species